UGAAAAUUCUGGUUGUAAUAAUUUUGAAGAAUCAACAAUCAAACCUUAGUGAAGGAUUAUCAUGGACUAAUACCUUGCAUGAUGGCUCUAGAAUUUUGUACCAUGUUUAUAACCUUCAAUUUCUUUACGCUAAACAGAUGAUUAAAUAGUUUAAUGAACAGUAAUGAGAAGCAAUUGGACUCUUUCUACCUUUAAAUAUUUUCUCCCAAUAGAAUGACAAUUUUAUUCAAUCCUCAACUCACCUUUCUCAUUUCAUUUGUCUGGAAGAUUCAUUCUACCACACUUCCUGAGCUUCUAUAUUGAA
rnacentral:misc_RNA from 1 species